rnacentral:rRNA from 1 species
GACGAACCGUCCUAACGUUGUUCGGAAUCACUGGGCUUAAAGGGCGCGUAGGCGGCUUGCCAAGUCAGGGGUGAAAUCCUGCAGCUUAACUGUAGAAGGGCCUUUGAUACUGGCGAGCUCGAGGGAGGUAGGGGUAUGUGGAACUUCCGGUGGAGCGGUGAAAUGCGUUGAUAUCGGAAGGAACGCCGGUGGCGAAAGCGACGUACUGGACCUCUUCUGACGCUGGAGGCGCGAAAGCUAGGGGAGCAAACGGG